CUCAGACACAUCAAGUGAAGAGUCCAGGCUCUACAACUCUUAAGAGGAAGCUGAUAUCUAGGUCCACUGAUUAUUCCAGAAAGAAAAUCUUCUUGAGAGAUUGCUAACUGAGAAAGAGGGAAGAUAUGACCCCAAGGUAGAACAGAAGCACACAAAGGUCUGUGACUCAGGCAAGCAGCAGUAAAGAACCCAAGUUCUGCCUGGCACUGGAGAGACGCAACACAUUUUCCAAAGUCUCCUGCAGCAGCACGAGAGAGCCCACCAGAUGUCAGUCUCCCUUCACAGCAAACAGGCCAUCUUUUCCCCUG